GUCAUACUAAGUUUGCGAAGAAAGGGGGUGGGGUCUGGGGGUCCUCCCCCAGAAAAUUUUUACAAUUUCGAAGCUCCGGGAACUGCAUUUCUGGUGUUUUCUAAAGCAAAUUCGCAAACGAAUUGGAUCUAAAUGGUUUGUAUUUUACAAAAUGGUUAUAAUUUGACAAAAAUAACGACUUUAUUACGCAAAUUUUACCUGAAAAUGUCAAAAUUUAAACUUGAAUUUUACCAGUAUUCCACAGUUGGGAGGUGGUUUACACCCCCCCCCCCCGUCGCUACGUCCCUGCUUACAGGUAUGAACUAUUUUAAAUUAUUAUUUCGUUGAGAAAGAUCGCGACUCUAUAUUUUUACCACCAUAUGGAAACUAUGCUUCAGUGAAUCAAUUUUGACAACAACAGCAGCAGAUCAAUUCUAUGUUUUAUUUACAGUAGCAGCACCGUACAGAUCGUUCUGAGUAUUCAACACCAAAUUCCUUUUAGUCUCUACUCGCCAAGUGUUCUUAAUUCACAGUCACCAGUGUCACUUUUGUGAAAAAUCUAAUGGGAUGAUAAUGAUCUCAAACAAACAUACUAUUUAACAACUUAGCAACUACAGUUUGUGCUGUAAAAUAUAAAAUCCUUUAAACACAUAUCAAUAGGAACAAUGAUUUAAGCUAAAAUAUGAAAAAAUUCUUUGAUAUUGUUUAUAGUUCUUAAUAAGUUUAAUCUUCUAGUUCUUGAUCCUCAACAUCCUGCAAUUCACUGUCAGCAGCCUUGCCUGUUCCUGAAAGGGAAAUGUAUGGAAUGAGGAUCAGGGGCAACUUUUUUGGCAAGGGGUGGGUCAAUGAAAACCAACCUAAAUUUGGACUUCAAACACCAGUGUGUUGGUGUUAUGUACUCAGGUGAAUGUGAUGUUUGUGAUGUUACUCUGAGUGUAUAUCCACACCGGGCAAGCCCGAAAAAUGUGCCUGGCCACGGCGGGAAUUGAACCUACAACCUUUGGAAUAUUAGCCCAAUGCUCUGCCAACUGAGCUAUGCGGUCAGGUUGGUUCGAGUAUGUGAUAUUUCCGGAACUGAGUCUAGUUCCUUCAAUAUCAAUGCAAUCUAGUAAUCAUAGAUUGCAUUGAUAUCAAAGGAACUAGACUGACCGCAUAGCUCAGUUGGUAGAGCAUUGGGCUAGUAUUCCAA
rnacentral:lncRNA from 1 species